rnacentral:lncRNA from 10 species
CAGGCUGGAGUACAAUGGCAUGAUCUCGGCUCACUGCAACCUCUGACUCCCGGGUUCAAGCGAUUCUCCUGCCUUAGCCUCCCAACCAUCUGGAAUUACAGGAAAUUCUUGAUAAAAAUUACAGCCUGAUCUCAGUUGUGCAACAGGAAUUUUGAAGAGCAGCCACCCUCCCUGAAGCCAUCUAGGGAACACCAGCAGAAUCACACUGGAGGACUGGUGUCCACAGAAGGCCACAAGCUUGUGAAGGUCAACUCAGCUGUGGCAGCUGAGCAACUGUCGGGCAAGUCUGCUGGAAUCUGAAAACCCAGAGACAUUUGUCCUGGGGGAUAUAUGGUAUGGUUCCCUUGGGUUCUCAGAAAUGACUGAGAUGACAUUUUGAGAGAAGCUAAGUUUUGGAAAUUAGGCCAGAGACUUAUGCCAAAAUUGUGGAUAAAGAGGAAGUUCCUGUUUGGGUUGUAGUGACAGGCUGUUGAGACUGGUGAAGUAAGCAUCACACUCAAUUUACCCCACACUAUGAGGAGCAAAAGAGUUCUUAAAAAGACAGAGAGGCAUAGCCUCAUCAUCAGAGCUCUUUAGGGAAACUGGGGAUUACCUCUAUAUGUCAGAUUUUCAAAUUAGCGUUGCACACCAGAGACCUCUUCAGGUGAGGUGAACUUGUAAAAAUACCUGAGAAUGGUUGUGAAACUGUAGUGUGCUGCUGCUGUGACUUCUGUUUUAUUUUUUUCAUUUCAUUUACUUUUCUAUAUACGAGUGUGUGUGUUUGUGCACACACACAGAGUAUAUAUAAGACAUAGAUACUUAUAGUACAUAGAAAUGUAUUUGUAUAAAUACAUGUAUGAUGUUGAAAGUUUGAGAUUCUUUGUUUUUUGAUAAAAACUAGUUAAAAUUGUUAUUAAGAUCUGAAAAUUAAUUCAGUCAGUUUUAAGAGACAUAGAAAUUCAGAGCAGCAAUCCCUGUUUGGUAAAUGCUUCUGUGGGGGACAACAUUCUCCACUAAGGUAAUUUUGAGCCACAAUCUUAAAUCAAACCACGAAAGAUAGAAAUUAUUUCCUUGGAAUAAGCUGUGAACAGUAUUACCUAAGGCUUUGGAUAAUUUCAAAUGAAAUGCUGAAUUUAGUAUAUUGAAUGACACAGCAUCUUUAUUUUAAAAUGGAACAAGUCAAUAAGGUAUUUACAGGAACACACAGCUUGAAUAAUAAAAUGUGUGUGAAUAGAUCUUAAUAAUUCAUUCCAUGUGCUGAUGCAAUUUGAUACAAACUCAAGCGUUUUAAUAAGAACUGUAAGCUGUUUUUUGAAAUUAUGUAUUGGAUUAGAGAGAGAGAGAGAACAGACCAAUUAAGCAACGAAAAAGAAGCGGGGAAUUGCUAAUGCUGAAUGAGUAGGAGCCAUCUGGAACUAUAAAGCGUCCCCAACAACCUACAGCUUCCCACACAGAUCGUAACCUCCUCCUCCGAUACCCGCCCCCACUACUUUGUGUAGGAGUUUAUCUUUUCCAGCUAUCACUAUGGGUAGGGUAAAAACUACUUUUAUAAAAAUUACCUUCAUGGUUACUGAAAGCUGAAGAGGAAUACUUCACUAACCAUGGGUCAUGACUCAUAGCGUAAAUACUUAUCUAGUAAGCAUUUAUAAUAUUUCUUUGGUGCUAAUUUUCUCAUUGAAUAAAGUUUGCUUUCAUUUUGUUUCAUCCACAUCAUAGCGGCACUUUCUGGCUGAGCUGCUUAACCCUCUGAAUUCAACUAUUUGCAGAGGCAUAAAGAAUUUUGAUGACUAUUUCAUUAUGCUUCCUCUAAAAAUAUGUUUUAAAGUCUCUAAAGAUUGUUGACUGUGUGCAAAACACUCUAAAGCUUGUUUCAAAGUAACAUAAAGCAUUUAGAUGAGAAAAGGGAAUAUACACAAUCCACUUCAGCUACACAUAAACUGGUUCAUGUGUUAAGGACAGUUCUAGAACUUUGGAAACUUGGAUAAGGACGCUCCUUCUGAGUAUAGUUCUCAUAGCACAAUCCCAAAGACACUGGAACCAACUUCAACUCCCACUGAGCUUAGAACCUACCCUUUACAUUACCCUAGAAAAACAAACACACUCUUUUAUGUAACCCCUCUCCCCAUUCUCCCCCUUCUUUUACAAAUUAUAUGCUAAAAUGCUCCCAACGUACUUAUAAAUAGAUCCAAUAAGACAUCAAUUUCUACACCUUCCAAGAGGGAGGGGAAACAAUCACAGGAAAUGAGGUGAAAACAAAUACUAUUGGCCGGGCGCAGUGGCUCACGCCUGUAAUCCCAGCACUUUGGGAGGCCGAGGCGGACAGAUCACGAGGUCAGGAGAUCGAGACCAUCCUGGCUAACACGGUGAAACCCCAUCUCUACUAAAAAUACAAAAAAAAUUAGCCAGGCGUGGUUGCAGGCGCCUGUAGUCCCGGCUACUCGGGAGGCUGAGGCAGGAGAAUGACAUGAACCCGGGAGGCGGAGCUUGUAGUGAGCCGAUAUUGUGCCACUGCACUUCAGCCGGGGCGACAGAGCGAGACGAGACUCUGCCUCAAAAGAAAACAAAAUAAAAACAAAAACAAACAAACAAAAAACAAACCAAAUGUUAUUAACCAAAUUACUAAAAUAAAGGAAACUUGAACACUAAAGAAUAAAUAAUUUUCACAAGAACAUUCUAAAGCAAAUUGUAGUAUCACUUUAUUUUCAUUAUUGUAGUAACAUUUCUUCAAUGACUUGGUAUCAAUAAAUUGUAUACAAAUAAAAGUCCUGUGUUGGCUUAAUAUUUCAUUUUUCAGCUUUUGUGUUAGGGUCUAUAAACAAGUUUAUUGGUACCUGUGUUUACAGAUGCACCAUAUUUAAAUGUAGUAUAAAGUCUGAUAUAUAUGAGAAUACGAUGGGAUAUGUGUAUGUGUGCUCCUGUGUGUCUGUAUGUGUGCCCUUGUGUGUGCAAGAGGGUGUGUGGAAGUGUUUGUGUAUGUAUAAAAUGCUGUGUGUCUGUUUAAUUAAGAGUGUUUCUGAUAGGAUAUGAUUCUAGUGGGUUAGGGAAGAAGAAGGUGAGAGGAGAGUAGGCCAAGGUUGACACAGAGGAAGUAAAUAGGUAAAUAGAGAGAAGUCAGGCACAGUAACAAGGUAAGCAGGAUAUUGGUGUAUGCUUCCCCUGGUUUAUCUGACAUUUUCCCCUAGGUGUUCCUACUCAUCACUAGCAAACCUAAAUCUAUAUUGACCCAUCUGCACCUCUG